rnacentral:lncRNA from 1 species
CUCUUUAGAAAUAACAGAUUAUUAUUCACAUGCCUAGAGGAAUUUCUUCUCCAUACCAUUUACUGUUAGGAUAUAGUAAUAUGUCAUAAAACUUAAAUUGUCAACUUGGAUACUUAAUAGGACUUCAUAAUUCUAUUAAUAUACAUUAUCCCUCUUUAGCCUGCAAAGUGGGCAGGGCAAGAACUAUUAUCUCUUUUAGAGAUUAAAAAAACAAAACAAAAAAAAAAAAGAAAAAAAAAAGACUGAGAUACAAAAUUAAAUGACACAGUCAAAGAUAAACAGAAUGACAGCAGAAGAAUUGGUACUAGAUCCCAUGGUGUCAGCCUCCCAUUUGUGACCCUUUUGAUUCCAUCAUAAUGCUGAGAUGACAAUUUCUCCCUGGAGCCUUCAUUUUCUCAUCAUUAGGUGGUCUGCUGCAGAGAACUAGAGGUUCAACUCCUGAUCCAUGGAGACUCACCAGUGCUAAGGGACUUCUGUUCAAUUGGAUCAAACUUGGCUGUAUUGUGGUGCUGAAGAUGCAAGGGAGGAAAGAGGCUGUUUGGGCAGAAAAUGAUGAUCCUUAGCUGCUAACUCUGUCAGCACAAAGAGAGUGGGACUGCAGAUGACCUCCAACACUGAAUAAACCAAAAAGGAUUCAUUUAACGUUUGAGAACAAAUUCUCAGGACACCCCAGAGGCCUUGAUAUGCUCAUGUGCCCUGCGUUGCACUGCAAUACGCCAGGAGGUGGCUGCAGUAAGCAGUAAAUCCACCUAACUGUGGGAUCAUCAUGUUAUUAAAGAAUAACAGGGAUCCCCUGUGAUCAGCAUUAAUGGACUGGGGCGAGAACAGAGAAGGUGACUUCACAUUUAUGAAUAUCAAAUAAUGAGGGCUCAGCUUUUUGCCUUCCAGCAGUCAAGUUCUUCUUCUGGGAAGUGCCUCUCUGUCGGGGUAACAAACAUUUUUAAGUUGACUGAUACAUUUUAAAAGUAGUAUGUAGAAAGGCUUUCUAAAAUCAAAAUCCAAUUUUAGUGAUUAC